AGUGGGAGAACUGGUGUAUCAGUGCCGAAGGAGCAACCGCCCCGGAAACUCUCAGGCAAACGGACCACU
rnacentral:ncRNA from 1 species